AUGCGCGCGACACCGGCAUGGGCGCGGGUGCUUAUGCAAGACGACCAUCCAAUGGCUUACCUCAGCAAGGCUCUUAGAGUGCGCAACCAGAAGCUCUCCACAUACGAGAAGGAAUUUCUUGCUGUGAUGAUGGCCAUCGACAAGUGGCGACCGUACCUGCAACAUGCUCCGUUCGAGAUAGUCACUGACCACAAGAGUCUUUGUGCACUCAACGAUCAACAACUGAUCACCGAUCUCCAACGCAAGGCCAUGUCCAAGAUGGUGGGGCUGCAGUUCUCCUUCCGCUACAGGAAGGGCGUCGACAACAGUGUUGUCGAUGGGUUGUCCCACGCCGGUCACCUCCUGGAGCUCGAUGCAUUGUCCAUUUGCCAACCAUAG
rnacentral:rRNA from 1 species